AUUGAACGCUGGCGGCAGGCCUAACACUUGCAAGUCGAGCGGAUGAGAAGAGCUUGCUCUUCGAUUCAGCGGCGGACGGGUGAGUAAUGCCUAGGAAUCUGCCUGGUAGUGGGGGACAACGUCUCGAAAGGGACGCUAAUACCGCAUACGUCCUACGGGAGAAAGCAGGGGACCUUCGGGCCUUGCGCUAUCAGAUGAGCCUAGGUCGGAUUAGCUUGUUGGUGAGGUAAUGGCUCACCAAGGCGACGAUCCGUAACUGGUCUGAGAGGAUGAUCAGUCACACUGGAACUGAGACACGGUCCAGACUCCUACGGGAGGCAGCAGUGGGGAAUAUUGGACAAUGGGCGAAAGCCUGAUCCAGCCAUGCCGCGUGUGUGAAGAAGGUCUUCGGAUUGUAAAGCACUUUAAGUUGGGAGGAAGGGCAGUCAGCGAAUACCUGGUUGUUUUGACGUUACCGACAGAAUAAGCACCGGCUAACUCUGUGCCAGCCGCCGCCGUAAGAC
rnacentral:rRNA from 1 species